UCCGGCUUAUCACCGGCGGUUUCUUUAGAGUGCCCAACUAAAUGAUGGCAACUAAAGACGAGGGUUGCGCUCGUUGCGGGACUUAACCCAACAUCUCACGACACGAGCUGACGACAGCCAUGCAGCACCUGUGAAUCACCCUCGAAGGCGACUACUUUUCGGUAGCUUGCAGAUCCAUGUCAAGCCCUGGUAAGGUUCUUCGCGUUGCAUCGAAUUAAGCCACAUGCUCCACCGCUUGUGCGGGCCCCCGCCAAUUCCUUUGAGUUUUAAUCUUGCGACCGUACUCCCCAGGCGGAUGACUUCACGCGUUAGCUGCGGCACCGAGGGGGUCGAUACCCCCGACACCUAGUACUCAUCGUUUACAGCGUGGACUAC
rnacentral:misc_RNA from 1 species